AGAGAGAGUGAGAGAGAAAGGAUUAGUGGCUGGACAGGGAAGGGGAAUGAGGCGGUGUAUUGAGGAUUGAUUGUCUCUUUCUCUCUCUUUUCCUUUUCCCAUUUCGUGAGGCCUCGAAGUGGCCGAUAGAGAACCUCCGUUAAAGGACCUGUGUCUUCUUCGUUCGUGGCCGUCGAAGACGAGGGCCAUCCUUUCAAUCCUUGCCUAACCCACCAAUCCUUUGCUAGACUCCAAACUCUAAGAAGAUGAUUUUGAAUGGAAGCUCCUUGGUCACUCCGAGUAUUUCUCCGAAGGUAUUCACCUCAAGGUCUUGUUUCUCGGGUUCAUAUGGUGGCAUUCCUCCUCUGCCUUCCUGUGUUUCAUAUCGAAGCAUUAGGAGUUCAUGGAAACCCUUUCAAGGGCUGACAUUGCAGUCUUCCAACAGGAAUACUCCUCUCCAGCAUCGUGCCGCUGCAUUAACACCACUCUUUAGUGGUAAUGAUUGUAGCUUUUUAUGUAGUACGACACCCACAGUUGGUAGGCGGAAGCUGCGACCUUUUCUGGCCCCACCAAGAUCUUCCAUCGAGAUGCCUUGGAGUAUUCGUUACCCUGCUUCCAAAGGGGAGAAGGUAAAGUGGUGGUGGAGAACUCUAGCAUGUCUCCCAUAUAUCAUAUCCCUCCGCGAUACAUGGAAGUAUUGGGAAGCAGCGUAUCGUCUCUACCCAUCCUUGGAGCAAUUCGAGUUCUUGACAUCCAGAUUUUACCAGGCUUUUGACAGAUUGCCAAGAUGGUUUGUCAUGGUAUAUUUUACCGUGGCAUAUCUUGGUGUGGUCAGGAGAAAGGAGCUUCCCCACUUCUUGAGGUUCAAUACGGUGUUGUCCAUGCUAUUGGAGAAUGCCAUUCAGAUUGCGGAGACGGCGAGCACUUUCCUUCCGUUUGCAAUUUUUGGGGGUAGGACAGGUUAUCAGCACUUUUGGAUUGGUCUUGGAGUUAUCUAUGUCUUGACGGUGUUGGUAUGCAUGGGGUCCUCCAUACUUGGGAUGUAUGUUGAAGUUCCGGGAGUGAGCGAGGCGGCCUUUAUCCAUACAAAGAUGUAGGAUACAAGGAUAGGGCUCUUUUGGUCAGGCUUUGCAUUUUCUUUCUUGGGGAGGUUAAUAGGUUAUUACAAAUGACGUUUUUCAGUUAGCACUGAAAGUUAAACUUUAUGAAGUUCAAAAUAUCAAGUUGGUGUCAGUGGGUACGACUUUUAGGUCUGCGAACUUAGCUGGAGCUAGAAAUAGCCUUUGUUCAUAAAUCCCCCGUGGAAAUGCCAGUUCAAUUAAACCCUUAGGAUGUCGGGUAGUAUUAUAUAGUCCCUAUUCCUAAAACCAUGAGAUAUUGGUCAUUCAAAGAUAUUUCAGAAAUCCUGUCCAAGAUGUUACAUUAUAUGGAAGUAAUGGCAGUUUUAAUUUUAUAUUAAUUUAGUUUUAAUUUUUAUUAGUUUUAAGUACCUGUGGAUGAAGUAUUGUACCAGUAAACACUUUUUAAGAAAUAUUCACACAUGUAUUUUAUACUUUUGUCCGCCCCAUGAAUUUACAAUAAUAAUCGUUCCAAGUAUUUGUAUUCGUGUC